rnacentral:rRNA from 1 species
UUCGCAAUGCCCGAAAGGGUGACGAAGCGACGCCGCGUGUGGGAAGAAGGCCUUCGGGUUGUAAACCACUGUCGGGAGUUAGGAAAUGUAAGGGUGCUAAUAGUAUCCUUACUUGACUAAGGCCCCGGAGGAAGCCACGGCUAACUCUGUGCCAGCAGCUGCGGUAAUACAGAGGCGGCAAGCGUUGUUCGGAAUUAUUGGGCGUAAAGAGCACGUAGGCGGCCUUGUAAGUCAGUUGUGAAAGCCUUCUGCUUAACGGAAGAACAGCAGCUGAUACUGCAAGGCUAGAGUGCGGAAGGGGAGAGUGGAACUUCUGGUGGAGCGGUGAAAUGCGUAGAUAUCAGAAGGAACACCGGCGGCGAAGGCGACUCUCUGGUCCGUAACUGACGCUGAGUGUGCGAAAGCUAGGGGAGCAAACGGGAUUAGAUACCCCGGUAGUCCUAGCCGUAAAC